AAGAUGUGUUGACCUGUUAUAGC
rnacentral:miRNA from 1 species